rnacentral:rRNA from 1 species
UACGUAGGGGGCUAGCGUUGUCCGGAAUUAUUGGGCGUAAAGCGCGUGUAGGCGGUCCGGCAAGUCCGUUGUGAAAGUCCGGGGCUCAACCCUCGAAUGCCGGUGGAUACUGUCAGACUAGAGUACGGAAGAGGCGAGUGGAAUUCCUGGUGUAGCGGUGAAAUGCGCAGAUAUCAGGAGGAACACCCAUUGCGAAGGCAGCUCGCUGGGACGUUACUGACGCUGAGACGCGAAAGCGUGGGGAGCAAACAGG